GGGCGAUUAGUUCAAUCGGUAGAACGUUUGUUUUACACGCAAAAUGUUAGAGGUUCGAGUCCUUUAUUGCUCA
rnacentral:tRNA from 1 species